rnacentral:rRNA from 1 species
AUUGAACGCUGGCGGCAGGCCUAACACAUGCAAGUCGAGCGGAUGAAGGGAGCUUGCUCCUGGAUUCAGCGGCGGACGGGUGAGUAAUGCCUAGGAAUCUGCCUGGUAGUGGGGGAUAACGUCCGGAAACGGGCGCUAAUACCGCAUACGUCCUGAGGGAGAAAGUGGGGGAUCUUCGGACCUCACGCUAUCAGAUGAGCCUAGGUCGGAUUAGCUAGUUGGUGGGGUAAAGGCCUACCAAGGCGACGAUCCGUAACUGGUCUGAGAGGAUGAUCAGUCACACUGGAACUGAGACACGGUCAAGACUCCUACGGGAGGCAGCAGUGGGGAAUAUUGGACAAUGGGCGAAAGCAUGAUCCAGCCAUGCCGCGUGUGUGAAGAAGGUCUUCGGAUUGUAAAGAACUUUAAGUUGGGAGGAAGGGCAGUAAGUUAAUACCUUGCUGUUUUGACGUUACCAACAGAAUAAGCACCGGCUAACUUCGUG